ACUCAAAGGAAUAGACGGGGGCCCGCACAAGCGGUGGAACAUGUGGUUUAAUUCGAUGCAACGCGAAGAACCUUACCUGGGCUUGACAUCUAGGGAACCCUGUGGAAACACGGGGGUGCCUUCGGGAACCCUAAGACAGGUGGUGCACGGUUGUCGUCAGCUCGUGUCGUGAGAUGUUGGGUUAAGUCCCGCAACGAGCGCAACCCUCGUUGCCUGUUGCUACAGGCUGCAAAGUGCUGAGCACUCAGGCGAGACUGCCGGUGACAAACCGGAGGAAGGUGGGGAUGACGUCAAAUCAUCAUGCCCCUUAUGUCCAGGGCGACACACGUGUUACAAUGGGACAGGACAACGGGCAGCUUGCCAGCGAUGGUCGGCUAAUCCCUUAAACCUGCCCUCAGUUCGGAUUGGAGUCUGCAACUCGACUCCAUGAAGUCGGAAUCGCUAGUAAACGCGGAUCAGCCAUGCCGCGUUGAAUACGUUCCCGGGCCUUGCACACACCGCCCGU
rnacentral:rRNA from 1 species